rnacentral:rRNA from 1 species
UACGGAGGGGGCUAGCGUUGUUCGGAAUUACUGGGCGUAAAGCGCACGUAGGCGGCUUUGUAAGUUAGAGGUGAAAGCUCAGAGCUCAACUCUGGAACUGCCUUUAAGACUGCAUCGCUUGAAUCAUGGAGAGGUCAGUGGAAUUCCGAGUGUAGAGGUGAAAUUCGUAGAUAUUCGGAAGAACACCAGUGGCGAAGGCGACUGACUGGACAUGUAUUGACGCUGAGGUGCGAAAGCGUGGGGAGCAAACAGG